UGAAUCCAACGGCCAUACAUCUCACUCUUCAUCUUCCUUCUUCUCUCGACUGUAGCGGCGACAGGCGAAAAAGAAGGCUAUCACAAUCUGGCACCAUCCUCCCUGGUUCCUCUUCUUCUCCGGCAGCUUCUUGUUGUUGGAGACGGAGGGGAACCGGGAGUUUGGCUGGUGUUGUAAAUAUCCACAUAUUUUAAGCCUUGCUCUAGAUAGGUUAGAGUUCUUCCCCCGCAGCUCGUGGUUGUUUGAGGUAGUUUGUGCCUUGGUUUCUCUCUGAUGCAGAUGCUUGUUGCGGCUCUUGCUGGGAGGUGACUUCUGGACCGCCGGCGACGGAACUCAAGCCGGAGGUGCCACAUCCUGUCUUUCCCGAUGAAGUAACGGCCGAUGGUCGUUUGUCGUUGCCUGUGCGUUCAAUGAUUCAAAGAUGCGUCGAUGCGUUCAAUGUGCUGCCUACAGUGGCGUUUCAAAAAAUCGAUGUCUUCGUCUGCUUGGGAUUCGACUUCCAGCUCUGUUCUAUAUGCUCUUCUCCGUCGAACUCUCGCGUGGUGGAUUGAGGAGUGUGCUCGUUCGGUGGCCAUGAAAUUGCUCAGGAGCAGGAUGCUAUCUUCGGUGUUUAAUCUCCAAACUCAUCGAGAGAUAGCUUCAAGGUGGUAGAUUAGAUAAGGUGUCACCGAGAUCAGAAACUCGAAGAUGCAAGAAAAUACGAAAUUUUAGACACGUUCGGACCGCAGUAUGCGUAAUACCCUACAUCAUGUGUGGUUCUUUGUAUUGCCUUUGAUGAUUAUUGUUGGUUGAUGAUGUGGAGGGUGUCCCUACACGCGUUUAUAUAGUUUGCACGGAUAGGAUUAUAUGAAAGUCCUAUCCAAAUACGAGCUUAGAAGCCGUACGAGCUUAGGAGCCGUACCCGAGUACUACUCGGGUAGUUUCCUUCUGUUCCGACUAGUCCUACUUUCUGUACAAGUAGUAACAACUGGUGUAAGGUAUGGGCCAUAUUCCACCUCUUAUCCUAUAAUAAGUACACCAUGUACGCAA